AUGUCUUUCAUGACAUACCUCGCCCAGUUCCAAUUCGGGAUGUCAUCCAAACUUUAUGAGAGCCACAAAAUAUGUUGGAAGAAUAACUAUGGAUCAAAUGGACCUCGAACUUUAUCUCACCGUGAACACCACAUAAAUCACAUUCUAACAGGAGGCCUCAGCCAUCGCCAAGGCAUCUCAUGGAACAUGGGGGAAACUCCAAAUCGAACAGAGCAACACAAAAAUAGGAAUCAGGCAUGA
rnacentral:rRNA from 1 species